AUGCUGAAAUCACUGAAGGUGCUUCAGAACUGGCUAAAUGUUCUUAAAAUAGUCAAAUGUCAUCCACACUCACUAGCUACAAAGCUGCAAUAUAAAGCGAAAAGAAACCAAAUGAUAAAGAAAACAUGUACAGCACUAGAGGUAUCAUCAGUCCUGUCCAACGGAGCCAGUGCUUAUAACACUUUCUGUGGAAGUACGAAGAUCUUGAAAUAAUUCACCUACCCUACCCCACCCCACCCAGGAAUAAGCGAUUGUACAGUGCAAGCCACCUAAAGGAACACUGUGAACUGCCCUGUGUGAUGAAUGAAAAAAUUCAUAAUGCAGUAUUCAGCUUUGGCUCACAGAAUGAAUGUACAUCCUUCUGCCCAUUAACACAAAGUGUAAGAAAAAUUUCUGAUGUGGGGGAUAGCUUUCGUCAGAAGAAAUAAGUGUCAGUGUUCUCUAACUUUGCCUUGGAGGAGGGGAUCUCGAACUACACCUUCCUAGAGUCUGUUCAAACCAGUAGAAUCAGUGGUAUGUGAAGUUGGGCUUGGGUGAAAACAUCUAGAUUAAACAGGGAAUGCAAGUGUCUACUCCAGGAUUACUGAAGGACAGGGACACUGUUCAUGCAGAUGAUCCCAUUCCUACCCUGAAAUAAUCCUAGCUCUUUCUUUAGACAGGGCUCUUGACUGUGGGUGAUUCUAACCCCUCAGGGACACUAGCUAAUCUCUGGAGAUAUUUCUAAUUGUUACAGUGGGCAGGGGAUGUUACUGGCAUCUAAUGCAUAGAGGCCAGGGCUUCCCAGGUGGUGCUAGUGGUAAACAACCCACCUGCCAAUGCAGGAGACAUAAGAGAUGUGGGUUCAAUCCCUAGGUUAGGAAGAUUCUUGGGAGGAGGGCAUGACAACUCACUCCAGUAUUCUUGCCUGGAGAAUCCCAGGGACAGAGGAGCCUGGUGGGCUACAGUCCAAAGAACUGUGGAAGAGUCAGACACCACUGAGCGACUUUGCAUGCAUGCAUGUGAUGCAAAGAGGCCAGGGAUGCUGCUAAUCAUCUGCAAUACAAAGAACAGCCCCUCACAACAAAGGUGUCCACGCUGCUAUUGUUGGGAAACCCUGCUUUAAAGCAGAUCUAGUAUUGGUCUGGAUCAGAUUUGGGGGUUUCCAACUCGUUAUAGGAUCACUCCUUAAUAGUGAAGGAUAUUUUGUGAUGGAUACUACUCUAAAUAGAGAGGUGGACCAUAAAGAGCGCUGAGCACUGAAGAAUUAAUGCUUUUGAAUUGUGGUGCUGAAAAAGACUCUUGAGAGUCCCUUGUACUGCAAGGAGAUCAAACCAGUCCAUCCUAAAGGAAAUCAGUCCUG
rnacentral:lncRNA from 1 species